GCUCGUCCAAAAAUCCCCAUCACGAUCUGAAAAUCCCCAUUGCCGUGAGGCUCCACCUAACCCACCUCCAUCCCCUGGCUUCGGCGCGCCUCCCGCCGACGGCCCUCCCAGCCCCAACGCGCCUCACGUCAUCGUCGCCCCGGCACCGGCCCCGGCAUGCCUCCCACCACCGGCGCCCAUCCCCCGACGUGCCUCUCGCCGCCGUCGCCCCGGCCCUGACGCACCUCUCUCCAUUCCCAGAUCGCCUCCCACUCCGCCCUCCAUCCCCAGCACGCCCCCACCAUCGGACCUCGGCUGGCGACCGCAUCCCCGGGCUCGGCUGCACGUGACCGGGAUACCUCGCUGGUGCACGCCACCUCCCUCCUCCUAAGGUUGGGAGCGGUGUGAACUUUGAACGGAUCAGUGGUUGGACCAUCAGCAGUUAACUGCACCAACGCGACUGACGCCACCUCGCACGCCUUCGUCUUCGUCGACGGCGGUCAGCACCUCCAACGCAAAUCGAUUCAGCGCCGUCUGUGCAUGGCUCGGCUCCUGCGCUCUGCUGCUGCCACGGGACCCAGUGCACCUCCCGUCCUCUGCUUUUCUCCGUGCGGAACUGUCUGUCUCGUGUCGCUGCUUGCACCUGCUACUGCUGGGAAUACGCUGUCCCGCGACGCCCUGUACUCAAUCUGUACCCGUGCUCUCUCUGUCUCACGAACCAUCCCUACGGCCGCAAAGCUUCUCUUAGACCGGCCGCCAUGCAUCAAACUGAACUGCUGAGUUCAUUCCCCCAAAGUCCUGCAGAGCUUAUAGUAAAGAGGCGUACCCCGAUCUCCUCCGUUACUUAACAAUAUGGUGUGCUUUCUGAUGGAA